CGCUUUUGUCCACACCACUCAUUCGAUUAUGAUAUCGAUUUUCGCACCUUAAAACUUGUACCAAAUCGUCAAAAGACGGUUAAAGGACAAUGUGAAAACAUUUCUCAGACAAUCCAAAACAUCCUUCAAACGGAAAAGAGUAAUUUCAUUCAUGAAAGACAUUUGAUGCAUUUCACUCUAUUCCUCUACUUUGACGCUAUAAGACAUGCAAAUCAAAGAAGAUGGUGCCAUGAAUGUACCAUAAAGAUUUUCCGUCGAUCAUUCGACAUCGCUCGCCAUACAGUCCAUUUGUGCGUACGUAAGAUUUUCUCCCUUCACCCCUUGACUGAGACGGAUUUUCUUCCCAAUGAACUACGAUCAGAAGAAGAUCAAACUCUGAUCGGCAUUUUUUGGUUCCUUCCACCAAUCAUAGAGGGAGAGGAUGAACGGUCACGGUUUCCACGGCGAUCCAUGUCGGAAAAUCAUUUGAUCAUCACAAAAAAAUCACUGCACAACGUUGCAUCCAAAGAUUAUAUAAGAGGCAGCCAUGUUCCAUGUUUUCAGCCUUAUGAAGAUGUGUAUGAACUGAAUAUCGAGGAAUGACUACUACAGGAUGUACUAGACGCAAAUCUUGAAAAAGAUCCAUCCAUUUGCAUAUGCAUUGGAAAAACAAUAUUCUUAACUAGGUUGUUGGAUUAGGGAUCGUCGUACAAAAUAUCAUUACUAUCGAGGUAUUAAAAGACGAUUCUUAGGAAAAAUACCAUCUAAACGAGGUCUUUUGUACAUUGAUCAGAAUUGGCAUUGCAUUAGUAGUAUAAUGGACUUUAAGAUGGAACUUCAUUUUUAACUUGGUGCAUUUCCUUCUUUCUUUUCUCAUACAUAUUAUUUCUACAUCAUCUAAUAUACUCAUUCAUUUCUUCAUUCACACAUCCAACUUUCUAAAUUCUAUCUCUCUACUCUCAUUAAAUCUCGUCCAGUUUUAAUCACUUUGCCAUUCAUCUGUCUUUCUACUAAUUAUCAUCACUGUUUAUCAUAUCAUUUAUACCUUUUCUUUAUCACUAUAUACACUUUUGGAUGUCUUACACUUAACUAUAGCUCAACUACUUUGAAAGAAAUUAAAGGAUGGGAUUCUAAUAUCAUUGAUUUCUAUACAAAACAUGCAAAAGUAGUUGGUUUUCAAAGGUACAAUCGUCCAACUGAUGAAGAGAGUAAAGCGCUUCGUUUUCGCAAAACAAAAAAUAAGAUGCUGCAACAGCUCAAAAUUCUAAACAGACACGUCAAACCUCAAGAUGAACGAGGAGGAGGAAGAAAAGAAAAGCCUUGAAGAUGGAAAAAAGGAAAUAAAAGAACAAGACUUUCUUUCCACUCUAACCCCGAGAUGGUUUGAUGAAGAUUCUAUGAGAGAAUGGUAUAAACGUGUGGUGAAAUGGUAAAAGAUUCAUGAGAUGAACAGAUUUGAAACCAAGCUGCAACCAAGCACACAAACUGAGAUUGACAACGGCCGUACCAUCGAAAAACGACAUAAAGAACAAAAGAAAAGAACUAUAGGCAUGUAUUCAUUAGGAAUUAAAAGUGGAUCACAUUCUCAUUCCCUUACUUGGAAAGGUCCAAGACGAUACGGCCGGCAAUCUUGUUCUCAUGCAUGAGACGGUAGACGUCGGGAAGAGUAGAGAAGGGUUGGACCUUGUAGUAAGGCUUGACGAGACCACGGGAAACGUAUUCAAGAGCCUCGAUAGAGUCAAUACGGUUACCGACGUGAGAACCGCAGAUCUUAAGCAUCUUAACGGUCAACCAGAAGAUAUCAGCACCGAGCUUGGCACCGGCAGGCAUGGAAACAGUGACCAUGGUGGAACCGGGACGGGCAAAGCCAGCAGCUUGCUCGUAAGACUUGGGGGAGGUGGAUAAGACCAAGGUACCGUGGGCACCACCGUUGGUGGCAGCCUUGACAGCCUCAAUCAUGUCGGCUUCCUUCUUGAAGUCAAGGAAGACCUCAGCACCAAAGGACUUGACGAGCUCAGCCUUGUCAUCACCAGUAUCAAUGGCAACAACACGCAUAGCCAUAGCCUUGGCGUAUUGGACGGCAAGAUGGCCAAGACCACCACCGGCACCGGGAAUGCAGAUCCACUCACCAGGGCCGACCUUGGAUUCCUUCAAGGCACGAUAGCAAGUGAUACCAGCGCACAUGAUGGGAGCAGCAACCUCGAGGGGAACGGACUCGGGGAUGAUGGUAGCAUGGGUGGCAUUGGCAAUGCAGUAGUGUUGGAAAGUACCGUCAACGGUGUAACCGGAAAGUUGAAUGUGAGGGCAGAUGGUCUCCUCAGCCUUCAUACAGUACUCGCAGUUACCGCAAGAAGAGUUCAUCCACUUGACACCAACACGGUCACCAAUCUUAAGACGAGUGACACCGGCACCGACCUUGACGACGACACCAGCACCUUCGUGACCACCGAUCAAAGGCAUCUUGGCGGGAAGAGGCCAGUCACCUUGAAGAGCGUGUAAAUCGGUGUGGCAGACACCGGUGUACUUGAUGUUAACCAAGACCUCGUCUUGACCGGGCUCGGCGACGGGGACUUCCUCGAACUUGACGUUCUCGGGACCACCGUGGGUGUGGAAAACGGCAGCCAACUGCUUGUCAGGAAUAGUCAUUAUGUGGUUAGAAAAAAGAAAAGACUUAAAAGUUUGUGAUAGUCAAGACAAUGGAAUUCUCUUGCUUAAAGAAAAGCGAAGGCACCUGUCCACCACCCACUAUUUAUACCAUGGGAGGCGUCAAACCGAGUUUUUGCGAAAGGAUUAUCGCACCUCUCCCCAAGUAACAUCGGCAAAGCAAAAACGGAGCGGAAGACCAAUGAGACGCGGAAGGGGAGCGCCGAAUGAGGAAAGCGAGAGAGAAAGAAGUGGAUGGAAUGAUUCCCCGCCAAAGUGGACACAUUUCGGGAAUCUUCAGGAAGCAUGGAUCACCUUAUGGACAAGAAGAUAAUCCGGAAGCCAAUAGGAGGGCGACAGGGGGUCAGCGAUAAGCGUCGGAAAAAACUUUAUGAUAUGGUAAAUACGUAGGAGGUUACGGUGCAGAGGAGGGGCCGGUAGCGAGUGAUAGCGAGGGAAAGACGAUCGCUAUCGGGCCGUAAGGAGGAAAUGGGAGGUUGGGGGAAGGAUGCGUUGGAAUGCGGAGUAGAGAAAUUGAAGAGAGAGAGAGGACACACCUAGAGAGAAAGAAAUGGAUAUAGAGAAAGAGAAAAAAUAAGAGGAAUACGGAUACGAUGGAGUGCGUUGAAUGAGAGAAAAGAAAAGAAAAGGAAUGAUAAGAGAAGGAAUGAAAAUUGUUUUGUUUUGUUUUCAAUUGCUUUCUUUUGUUUUCUUUGUCUUUGUUCUUCCUUCCCUUGUCCCGAUGCUGUUCUUCUCACCAGCUUCCGCAUGAUAGCCAUUUUCUUAGUUGUUGUAGGGCAUGCCAUUCGAAUGUCUGCGUCACCCACAGCUCUCGACCAUGGGUGUGGACGGUUUCCGAUACAAUGUAAAUAAAGCUACAUCGGAAGAAGAGUACAGCGGCAGUGUCAGUAGCAAUAGCAGUGACAUUGACAAUGGCAAUGGUAAUCACAAUGACAAUAUUACUAGCAGUCGACGGCUCGACAAACGGCACACCAAACGUACCACUCAAUUUCUCUCUAUCCUUAACCCUUUAUAGAGUUGGGAGCGGGUUAUUUCGUUCAUCUCGUCUCGUCUCGUCUCGUCUCUUACGACUAACAUUGUAGGCCUAUGCACCCAACAUUUCCCUAGUAGUAUGCCGUAUUAGGGCAAACAACAUCGUACCAUCCACCUAGCACUCAACCCUAUUCCUUUAGCCUUCUUUUGUCGUAGUAUUUUUUUUUAUCUGAUAUGGAGAUCCGCGUGGACCUCGUUUAAAAGAUAUUUCAUCACAUAAGGAUAACCAUACAAGAAUAUUUUCAUAUUAGUGGAGUGGAGAAUAAAAGAAUCAUUACUAGGUA
rnacentral:lncRNA from 1 species